rnacentral:rRNA from 1 species
CCCCACUGCUAUCGAGGUGGGACUAAGCCAUGCUAGUUGAACGACCCGGACUAUGGCGGGAAGUGGCAGACUGCUCAGUAACACGUAGCUAACCUACCCUUGGGACGGGUACAACCCCGGGAAACUGAGGUUAAUACCCGAUAGGUGUGGAUUCCUGGAAUGGUACCACGCCCAAAUGUAACGCGUCCAUGUAUGCGUGAACGCCCAAGGAUGGGGCUGCGGCCGAUCAGGCAGUUGGUGAGGUAACGGCUCACCAAACCUUUGACCGGUACGGGCCAUGAGAGUGGUAGCCCGGAGAUGGGCACUGAGACAAGGGCCCAGGCCCUACGGGGCGCAGCAGGCGCGAAACCUCCACAAUUCACGAAAGUGAGAUGGGGUUACCUCGAGUGCCGCCUGAUGAAGGCGGCUUUUCCAUUGUGUAAUGAGCCGUGGGAAUAAGAGGGGGGCAAGACUGGUGUCAGCCGCCGCGGUAACACCAGCCCCUCGAGUGGUGGGGAUGAUUAUUUGGCCUAAAGCGUCCGUAGCCAGCUCGGUAAAUCUCUCGUUAAAUCCAGCGUCCUAAGCGUUGGGCUGCGAGGGAAACUGCCGAACUAGAGGGUGGGAGAGGUCAGCGGUAUUCCUGGGGUAGGGGCGAAAUCCAUUGAACCCAGGAGGACCACCAGUGGCGAAGGCUGCUGACUAGAACACGCCUGACGGUGAGGGACGAAAGCUGGGGUAGCGAAUCGGAUUAGAUACCCGAGUAGUCCCAGCCGUAAACGAUGCAGGCUAGGUGUUGGGUCGGCCAUGCGCCGCCUCAGUGCCACAGGGAAGCCAUUAAGCCUGCCGCCUGGGGAGUACGGCCGCAAGGCUGAAACUUAAAGGAAUUGGCGGGGGAGCACCACCAGGCGUGAAGCCUGCGGUUU